rnacentral:rRNA from 1 species
UACGUAGGGCGCAAGCGUUGUCCGGAAUUAUUGGGCGUAAAGAGCUCGUAGGCGGCUUGUCGCGUCGACUGUGAAAUCCCGCGGCUCAACUGCGGGUCUGCAGUCGAUACGGGCAGGCUAGAGUUCGGUAGGGGAGACUGGAAUUCCUGGUGUAGCGGUGAAAUGCGCAGAUAUCGGGAGGAACACCGGUGGCGAAGGCGGAUCUCUGGGCCGAUACUGACGCUGAGGAGCGAAAGCGUGGGGAGCGAACAGG